rnacentral:rRNA from 1 species
UGGGGAAUCUUGCGCAAUGGCCGAGAGGCUGACGCAGCGACGCCGCGUGGGGGAUGAAGCAUUUCGGUGUGUAAACCCCUGUUGCUCGGGACGAACGACUCCUUUCGAGGGGUGUGACGGUACCGAGUGAGGAAGCACCGGCUAACUCCGUGCCAGCAGCCGCGGUAAUACGGAGGGUGCGAGCGUUGUCCGGAAUCACUGGGCGUAAAGGGCGCGUAGGUGGUUGGAUGCGCCGGUGGUGAAAGCGCAGGGCUCAACCCUGCGUCGGCCAUCGGGACGGUCCGACUGGAGCACUGUAGAGGCAGGUGGAAUUCCGGGUGUAGCGGUGGAAUGCGUAGAGAUCCGGAAGAACACCGGUGGCGAAGGCGGCCUGCUGGGCAGUUGCUGACACUGAGGCGCG